CCUGAUUGAUUCUGCCAAUAGUCUUAUGCUUGUCUCAAAGAUUAAGCCAUGCAUGUCUAAGUACAUACCGAAUUAAGGUGAAACUGCGAACGGCUCAUUACAUCAGUUUUGGUUUCUCAGAUCGUACAACAAUUUACUUGGAUAACUGUGGUGAUUCUAGAGCUAAUACAUGUAAACCAGAAUUCCAUCCACAGAUGGGAGGAAUGCUUUUAUUAGAUCAAAACCAAUCGAUGUGGCGGACGGUUCGUCCGUCUUCCCAUCGUUGGCUAUGAUGACUCUGAAUAACUUUAUGCUGAUCGUACGGUCUUCUAACACAGACGACGCAUCUCUCAAAUAUCUGCCUUAUCAGCUGUCGAUCGUUCUACGCCUACCAUGGUUGUAAUGGGUAACGGGGAAUCAGGGUUCGAUUCCGGAGAGGGAGCCUGAGAAACGGCUACCACAUCCGAGGAAGGCAACAGGCGCACAAAUCACCCACUCCCGGCACGGGUAGGUAGUGACGAAAAAUAACGAUACGGGACUCAUCCGAGGCCCCGUAAUCGGAAUGAGUACACUUUAAAUCCUUUAACGAGGAUCCAUUGGAGGGCAAAUCUGGUGCUAGCAGCCGCGGUAACUCCAGCUCCAAUAGCGUAUAUUAAAGUUGUAGCGGUUGAAAAGCUCGUAGUUGAAUCCGUGUGUCGCAGUGUCGGUUCAUCGCUCGCGGUGUUUAACUGGCAUUAUACGACACGUCCUACCGGUGGGUCUAGCUUCUCCUCGGAGUUGCGGCACAAGUUGAAUAUCCCAUCGCGGUGCGCUCCGCUGAGUGUCGAAAUUGUGCCGGUGCGUUUGCUUUGAACAAAUUAGAGUGCUUAAAGCAGGCUACCUACGCCUGAAUAUUCUGUGCACGGAAUAAUGGAAUAAGACCUCGGUUCUAUUUUGUUGAUUUUCGGAACCCCGAAGUAAUGAUUAAUAGGAACAGAUGGGGGCAUUCAUAUUACAACUGUUUGGGAAUGUAGGAAUGGUGAAGGUUCCUUCAACAAGCUGAACUCAGUUGUUUGCUUUCACGAUAUUUAAUAUUAACACUUAAUGAGACACAAAAUAUUAACACGCACACACAGAAAACAGGACGACUCACGGAAAUGAAAGAAAUGAAAAUUUAAUUAACUGGUACUGGGGAGUGACUAAUUGCACUGUCGCUCAGUGGGCCAGAACGACGAAUUAGCUGUUCACGGCUAAUUGUAGCGCUAUUUGAAGACUUGAAACGAAAGUAUAGCGGCCGCUGAGUCGUCCCAGUAUUUAAAACAAAUAUUAUUAUUACGUUUAAUCACACCGGAUUAUUUUCUUGCCGAAAAAAUUAAAAAUAAAACAAAAAUAAGCGUUAUAUUUCAAGAAGUUAGUGAAUAUACUAUACUCAUAAUGUGGACGUUCAGUUUAUAAGCAUAAUUUUUAUUAACGAAAAUAUAAGUUUAACAUGGAAACAAUUUUUAUGAAUAAAAAUAAAAUUUAUUUAUUAUUAUUUACGUAUCAUCGUCAUAGUUUUGUAGGUCUUCUUGUAACAUUAAUUUUUCUAUUUCAUCCUUGAAAAUAUUAAAACGCGAAAGUGUUUUAUAAAUUUUUCUGUUUUCUGCCGAAAUUGGAGAUAUUAAAAUAUUGGACGUAUAUAAUAAAGUCUGAAAAAGGUCCGUCAAUGCUUCUAAUUGCGAAAAUUUUUGUGUGUGGUCUCUUCUAAUAUCUCAGAAAUCUUUGUUUCGUGUCUCUAUUGGUUCUUCAGAAAACAAGAAGGUUUCGAAUGAAGAUUUCCAAGCUGGUUUCCAAUGGGCAAACCAGCACUUUGUAUUAUA
rnacentral:rRNA from 1 species